ACAUAGUUCUCCUAUCGAUGCAUCCCAUUCCAUCCCAGGCACUUUUGCAUAGAUGUGGUGGGCAUGGUCAUGGCAUGUCAUGCAUGUAUGUCCUUGCUAGUAGUGAUCGCAGAAGGCAUCAUUCGGCACUUUGUUGAUGAGUGUGAUGAGGUUGUUGAAGGUCGGCGGUUCUAUUGUUGGCACGUUGCCGAUAAUCAAUGGUCACCUGCACUCCUAUGCUUGUUAGUAA
rnacentral:lncRNA from 1 species